GACGAACGCUGGCGGCGUGCUUAACACAUGCAAGUCGAGCGGUAAGGCCCUUCGGGGUACACGAGCGGCGAACGGGUGAGUAACACGUGAGCAAUCUGCCCUUCACUUUGGGAUAACCACCGGAAACGGUGGCUAAUACCGGAUACGACCAUCCCAGGCAUCUGGUGGUGGUGGAAAGUUCUGGCGGUGGAGGAUGAGCUCGCGGCCUAUCAGCUUGUUGGUGGGGUAAUGGCCUACCAAGGCGACGACGGGUAGCCGGCCUGAGAGGGUGACCGGCCACACUGGGACUGAGACACGGCCCAGACUCCUACGGGAGGCAGCAGUGGGGAAUAUUGGACAAUGGGCGAAAGCCUGAUCCAGCAACGCCGCGUGAGGGAUGACGGCCUUCGGGUUGUAAACCUCUUUCAGUAGGGACGAAGCUAACGUGACGGUACCUACAGAAGAAGCACCGGCCAACUACGUGCCAGCAGCCGCGGUAAUACGUAGGGUGCGAGCGUUGUCCGGAAUUAUUGGGCGUAAAGGGCUCGUAGGCGGUUUGUCACGUCGGGAGUGAAAACUCGGGGCUUAACCCCGAGCCUGCUUCCGAUACGGGCUGACUAGAGGUAUGCAGGGGAGAACGGAAUUCCUGGUGUAGCGGUGAAAUGCGCAGAUAUCAGGAGGAACACCGGUGGCGAAGGCGGUUCUCUGGGCAUUACCUGACGCUGAGGAGCGAAAGUGUGGGGAGCGAACAGGAUUAGAUACCCUGGUAGUCCACACCGUAAACGUUGGGCGCUAGGUGUGGGACUCAUUCCACGAGUUCCGUGCCGCAGCUAACGCAUUAAGCGCCCCGCCUGGGGAGUACGGCCGCAAGGCUA
rnacentral:rRNA from 1 species